rnacentral:rRNA from 1 species
AUUGAACGCUGGCGGAAUGCUUUACACAUGCAAGUCGAACGGCAGCACGGGGCAACCUGGUGGCGAGUGGCGAACGGGUGAGUAAUACAUCGGAACGUGCCCAAUCGUGGGGGAUAACGUAGCGAAAGUUACGCUAAUACCGCAUACGAUCUACGGAUGAAAGCGGGGGAUCGCAAGACCUCGCGCGAAUGGAGCGGCCGAUGUCAGAUUAGGUAGUUGGUGGGGUAAAGGCUCACCAAGCCAACGAUCUGUAGCUGGUCUGAGAGGACGACCAGCCACACUGGAACUGAGACACGGUCCAGACUCCUACGGGAGGCAGCAGUGGGGAAUUUUGGACAAUGGGCGCAAGCCUGAUCCAGCCAUUCCGCGUGCAGGAUGAAGGCCUUCGGGUUGUAAACUGC